AUUAUAAUACCUGUCCAAUUGUUGUGGUAUCGCUGUAGUUAUUAUGCACUUAUUACGUCUUGUUUGUCGUUGAAGUUAUUGUGCUUUUUCCCUGGUGUUUAGUGGCCUUAGUAGGUACUGUUUAUUCCCUUGACAGGACGUUAUUGAUUCCCUUGCCGGGACGUUAUUGUUUCUAUUAUUAUUUCCCUUGCCUUGCUCCAGUAUAUAUAUAUUAGUUGUCAUUUAUUGAGCGGCUGUUGGUACUGUGAUGCACGAGGUCUUUGUCGUGCGGUUGUUAUUGGAGAGUUGCACGAGGUCUUUGCCAUGGCCUUAGUAGGUACUGUUGAUUCCCUUACCGGGACGUUAUUGAUUCUAUUGUUGAUUCCCUUGCCGGGACGUUAUUGUUUCCAUUGCCUUGCUCCUGUAUAUAUAUAUUGGUUGUCAUUUAUUGAGCGGCUGUUGGUACUGUGAUGCACGAGGUCUCUGCCGUGCGGUUGUUAUUGGAGAGUUGCACGAGGUCUUUGCCGUGUUUUUGUGGCUAUUGAUGUUUUUGCACAUGCGGUGUAAUAAGGCACGGUAUGUUAUAUGCUUAUAUGUGAAUUGCGCAUGUGACUAAAUAAGGUGGGGAUAUUGUGAUGCACGUGUGGAGAAAUAAGGCGGUUUUGCUACAUUAGCAAGUUCGGUUAUUGUUGGAGAGUUGCACGAGGUCUUUGCCUUGUUAUUGUUGCUAUUGAUGUUUUUGCACAUGCGUCGUAAUAAGGCGGGAUAUGUUAUAUGCUUAUAUGUGAAUUGCACAUG
rnacentral:lncRNA from 1 species